AGCGAACGCUAGCGGCGGGCCUAACACAUGCAAGUCGAGCGCAUACCUUCGGGUAUGAGCGGCGGACGGGUGAGUAACGCGUAGGUCAUCUACCCUUUGGUGGGGGAUAACCCAGGGAAACUUGGGCUAAUACCGCACGAGGUCUACGGAUCAAAGCCUUCGGGCGCCAGAGGAUGAGCCUGCGUCGCAUUACCUAGUUGGCGGGGUAACGGCCCACCAAGGGGACGAUGCGUAGCUGGUCUGAGAGGAUGAUCAGCCACACUGGGACUGAGACACGGCCCAGACUCCUACGGGAGGCAGCAGUGGGGAAUAUUGCGCAAUGGGGGAAACCCUGACGCAGCCACGCCGCGUGGGUGAUGAAGGCCUUCGGGUUGUAAGCCCUGUCGGGAGGGACGAAUUCUUGACGGUACCUCCAAAGAAAGCACCGGCUAACUCCGUGCCAGCAGCCGCGGUAAU
rnacentral:rRNA from 1 species